GGGAGAGCUGCUCAACUUUCAAAAGGGAAAAACUAACGUUUUCCUAUAAGACGUUUUCUCAAGUACACCUGCUCUCUUCAUUUCACCCUUUUAGAAUAGCCUACGAGAUUGAAAAGGUUUCCAGAAAUUUCUUUUGGGAAGACAGUAUGGAGGUAAAGGAAAACAUCUUGUAAAUUUGUGAAGCCGUUUCUCCCCUUCCUAUUAAAUCAGGCCUGGAAGUGGCGGAGGAGUAAGGCUAUGGUCUCGUAAUGAAUGGAGGCUUCUAACGGGAGACUUGUUCACUUUAACACCAGUCAAUUAAUAGCUAAUUGCUAGUGAAUGUGGUCCUUCUCCUGGGCGUUGGACAACCAUAUUCAAGGCCCCAGGCUAAAAUGUCCUGGGAUUUUUAUAAGGAGGAAUAGGUUCGUACCUUUAGACGCCAUACAAAUGGAAAAAACUUUGUUGGUCUGACAGUAAAUAGCCAAUACAUUGCUUGCGGCAGUGAAACAAACGAAGUCUUCGUCUACCACAAGGAAAUCUCCAGACAGCUGACUUCGCAUCAAUUUGGUUCACCUGAUGCAGGUGAUGUGGAGGAUGAUGCGGGAUCUAAUUUCAUCAGUGCUGUUUGCUGGGAGAGUGAUAGUCCUACUAUCCUCAGUGCCAACAGCCAGGGAACAAUUAAGGUUAUACAAGCUUAACUUAUGAAUCGAAUAUCAUUUGUUAUCUCGUGAAAUCAGCAUUGUGGGCUUGGAUAACUACAUGUGUUCAUAUUACCUGAACAACUCGGACUAUUCAAUAACCAUUAUAAGAGCUGUAAAAAUAGCAGAGGAUCAAUGGUGGCGUUCAUCCAAGAUUCACGCACAUUAUGGGCAAAGAGAAGCUCGAUUCGCGACACGUGGCAAGAGGCGAAUGGCGCGUGGUCAACAGACAAAAAAGUUGACGCGUGAGGGAGACAGGAGGACGAAUGAGAGCGUCCACCGAUAGUGAGAGAGUGAGAGAAAGUGUGU